CGGGCGUUGCCGUUGCCUCGCCAGACGCCGGCGUGGGCUCGUGGCCCGAGCUCAAAUCGACGCCUCGUCGCCCGUUGUACGGCGCAGCGGCGACUCGGCGACGGGGCGGGCGAUCCGGUGCUCCCCAGGUUAAUUUUGGCGGCCAAGGUGCCAAAGAUGGCGCGAAAUCCCCACGGGCGCACGCUCUUCACCCCCCCCCCCCCCCCCCCCUUUAUCCUUCCCUCCCCUUCACAAUCCAUUGCAGGAGCUUGGUCCUUCCCGGCGGCGCAAUGGGGUCGGAGAACCAGCAAUCCGCAGCAGCGGCACGUGAUCUCCUAAUUGCGUCGACGACGAGCCAGUGGUAGGAGAUAGCGGUGCGGGCACGGGGUCAAAAGCUCGAGACGUCGUCGAUGGCGAUGACGGCGCACAGGAGGGAAGCUGCGACGGCGCCGCAGGAGCUGGGUCGUCCGCCCGUAGAGCAAAACUUCACCGGCCGCAGUCUCGCCGGUAACCCAACCUUUGGCGCCCCAACACCACCCCCCCUCCCCCGCGACGACGGCGCAGGAGCUGGGUCGUCCGCCCGUAGAGCAAAACUUCACCGGCCGCAGUCUCGCCGGUAACCCAACAUUUGGCGCCCCAACCCAAGGUCCAAUGGCGGCAUGAGCUUCUCCGGCAGCCCCAACCUGAUGUCUUCGACCAUGGCCUAGCAUCAAUCACAGUCUCAACCAUGGAUUCAUGCCGAUCCCACAGAAUGGUGAAAUUGGAUGCUCGCCCUAAAAUUAUUUCUGUUUUCUGGUCUGGUGCACCCUAAUUCUUGGACCAGAAUGAUCAUGCUGUUUUUUAGUUUCCCUUCCCAUGCUACAAACUGAAUGGGUUUCUGAAACUGAACAUGUCAUGCAUGUGUGUGUGUGUAUGCCGAUCCGACAGAAUGGUAAGGCUUCUUAGCACUUUGUUGUGAGAAUUUUUGUUCCAGCUUCCAAAUUGUAGUGUGAAUUCUGUUAGGGACUUUUAGUUUGGCAAUGGCGAACACAAGAAGAUUACAUCAUUGGAAUAUGCUACUGACUACUAAUUAGAAAACAUAACAAAUUUUAUUUUCUUGUCAGUGAAAACUAAGUCAAGGUUAAGGCCAUUUUUUGAAUGUUGAGCACUGCCACUUUGCAUUCAGUCUCACCAUUUUCUGCUAGGUGUGCUCAGAAUUUAUCAGCCACACAUGGUGUCAAUUUCUGUUUAGUUUGGCAAGCAGUACUGAAUGCACUAAAUGCUACAUGGUUCAUAUAGAGAUGCACUGAAAUGUUUUUUUCUAUAACAUUCUAAAACUGAAGCCUGUAUGGAUGUGCUGGAAUUUUAUUUUUAGUUUGGCAAGCAGUGUUUCUGCAACUGAAUGCCUGAAUGCUGCAUGGUUCAUAUAGAGAUGCACUGAAAUGUUUUUUUUCUAUAACAUUCUGAAACUGAAGCCUGUAUGGAUGUGCUACAAUUUUCUGCAGUCAAUAUUUCCUGAUAUGUACUAAGGUGAGUUCCAGUUUCAGUUUUUAGUCAAUUGAGUGAAGUCUGGUAGUAGCACUUAAUUAGUGAAAUUGCAUUUAAGUAGAUGACAAUAGAUGGAAUCAGUACCACUUAAUUUUCUGAAAUGUUUGUUUUCUAUGAAAAAUUAUCCUGUAGUUAAAUGUUACAGACAUUUUUUCUUUCCUGAGCUGUUACAGGCAUUUUUACUCCCUGACAGUGAGCUGUUACAGAUAUUUUUUUCUCCUACACACCUUUUACUGGAACUCAACCUACACACCUUGAUAAUUUUUCUUUGCUCCUACAUUAUUAUGCAUAAGCAGAAUCCAAGGGGUAUUGGAGAUGUGUAAAGUUUUUUUGUUUCCCUGAAAGCACCAUUUUUCACUUAAUGGUAGAUCUACAUUUUUUUCUCCUGAACUGGCCUGCAUUUUUGCCCCUGAACUGACAGCAAUUCAAUGUGCCUUACAGGUACAAGAAGGAAGGCAAAAUUGGAGCAAAAUGUUACACUGGCUGAAGAGAUAGGAGGCUCUGUUGUUAGUUUCUUAGUGCUCAAAAACAAGAUAGGAGGAUCUGCAUAAGAGGCUGGUGCAUGAGCAGGCUCUAUAGUUAGUUUAUGAAAUUUCAGAGGAGGCUCUGUACUUAGUUUUUGAAAUGUCAGACUUGUUUCUAGUUUAUUAAUUGGUUACAAUGGUCAAACUUCUGGUGCUAUUUGAAGUUCCUGAAUUUUUUCUGAAAGCCAGGCUUGAGAAUGUCUGUGUGACCAA